AACGAACGCUGGCGGCAGGCUUAACACAUGCAAGUCGAGCGCCCCGCAAGGGGAGCGGCAGACGGGUGAGUAACGCGUGGGAAUCUACCCAUCUCUACGGAAUAACGCAUGGAAACGUGUGCUAAUACCGUAUACGUCCUUCGGGAGAAAGAUUUAUCGGAGAUGGAUGAGCCCGCGUUGGAUUAGCCAGUUGGUGGGGUAAAGGCCUACCAAGGCGACGAUCCAUCGCUGGUCUGAGAGGAUGAUCAGCCACACUGGGACUGAGACACGGCCCAGACUCCGACGGGAUGCAGCCGUGGGGAAGAUUGGACAAUGGGCGCAAGCCUGAUCCAGCCAUACCGCGUGGGUGAUGGAGGCCCUAGGGUUGUAAAGCUCUUUCACCGGUGAAGAUAAUGACGGUAACCGGAGAAGAAGCCCCGGCUAACUUCGUGCCAGCCGCCGCGGUUACCC
rnacentral:rRNA from 1 species